UUUACAAUGGCUCAUGUGGUAGAGCCAUGGAUUUGUAACCCGUUGGUCCCAGGAUCGAAUCCUAGCUUUUUUAAUA
rnacentral:tRNA from 1 species